rnacentral:rRNA from 1 species
UCUAGUGAUGAUGGCAAAGAGGUCACACCCGUUCCCAUACCGAACACGGAAGUUAAGCUCUUUAGCGCCGAUGGUAGUUGGGGGCUUCCCCCU